UCUGAUUAGCUGGUUGGUGAGGUAACGGCCCACCAAGGCGACGAUCAGUAGCCGGCCUGAGAGGGUGAACGGCCACAUUGGGACUGAGACACGGCCCAAACUCCUACGGGAGGCAGCAGUGGGGAAUAUUGCACAAUGGGGGAAACCCUGAUGCAGCAACGCCGCGUGAGUGAAGAAGUAUUUCGGUAUGUAAAGCUCUAUCAGCAGGAAAGAAAAUGACGGUACCUGACUAAGAAGCCCCGGCUAACUACGUGCCAGCAGCCGCGGUAAUACGUAGGGGGCAAGCGUUAUCCGGAUUUACUGGGUGUAAAGGGAGCGUAGACGGUUUUGCAAGUCUGAAGUGAAAGCCCGGGGCUUAACCCCGGGACUGCUUUGGAAACUGUAGGACUAGAGUGCAGGAGAGGUAAGUGGAAUUCCUAGUGUAGCGGUGAAAUGCGUAGAUAUUAGGAGGAACACCAGUGGCGAAGGCGGCUUACUGGACUGUAACUGACGUUGAGGCUCGAAAGCGUGGGGAGCAAACAGGAUUAGAUACCCUGGUAGUCCACGCCGUAAACGAUGAUUACUAGGUGUUGGUGGGUAUGACCCAUCGGUGCCGCAGCAAACGCAAUAAGUAAUCCACCUGGGGAGUACGUUCACAAGAAUGAAACUC
rnacentral:rRNA from 1 species